ACUGAUGCAAUCAACGAGUUUUUCUCCCUGGUUCGAGAGGAUCGGGAAAUCUUCUCAAAUUGCAUCGUAAUGGGGAUAGACCAUUGCAAUUAGUGGUCUUCAAC
rfam:Picea glauca, whole genome shotgun sequence.